CUUGAUGAUUGGGUGCUGUGUAGAAUUUACAAGAAGAACAAUUCGCAUAGGCCAAUGGAUCUUGAAAGAGAAGACUCUAUGGAGGACAUGAUGGGGCCAUUAAUGCCACCAUCCAUAAGUCAUGUGGGCCAUCACCAGAAUAUGAACCUGCACCUUCCAAAAUCUAACACAAAUUAUGGACCGCCAUUCAUAGAAAAUGACCAAAUUAUUUUUGAUGGGAUAAUGAGCAGCACCGAUGGAUCGGCCUCUUUGUCCAACGGGACUAGUCAGCUGCCUCUAAAGCGGUCUAUAGUGCCAUCCUUGUACUGGAAUGAUCAGGAGGAUGAUCAAACGGCUGGGGCUUCAUCAAGCAAGAGGGUGGUACAACUGCACCAAUUGGACAGUGGUACUAAUAAUUCUGUUGCUGCUAAUAACAAUUCUACUUCUAUUGCCAACUUGCUCUCUCAGCUUCCACAGACACCUCCAUUGCAUCAGCAUGCAAUGCUAGGAUCCCUUGGUGAUGGCCUAUUUCGAACACCGUAUCAGCUUCCUGGGAUGAAUUGGUUUUCUGAGUCCAAUUUGGGAUAGAUGGUUUGGUUGGUGUAUGGUGAUGAUUUAUAGCACCUAUUAUUUAUGGCUAAGUAAAGCUUUCUUGCUAGCUAGCAC
rnacentral:lncRNA from 1 species